UGCGGUGGGGCUCAGUGGUAGAGCACUCACCUAGCACGCGUGAGGCCCUGGGUUCGAUCCUCGGCACCACAU
rfam:Ictidomys tridecemlineatus contig003974, whole genome shotgun sequence.